rnacentral:rRNA from 1 species
GAUGAACGCUGGCGGCGUGCUUAACACAUGCAAGUCGAACGGAAAGGCUCCUGCUUGCAGGGGUACUCGAGUGGCGAACGGGUGAGUAACACGUGGGUGAUCUGCCCUGCACUUCGGGAUAAGCCUGGGAAACUGGGUCUAAUACCGGAUAGGACCACAUUUUGGAUGGUGUGGUGGAAAGUUUUUCGGUGUGGGAUGAGCUCGCGGCCUAUCAGCUUGUUGGGGGGGUAAUGGCCUACCAAGGCGUCGACGGGUAGCCGGCCUGAGAGGGUGUACGGCCACAUUGGGACUGAGAUACGGCCCAGACUCCUACGGGAGGCAGCAGUGGGGAAUAUUGCACAAUGGGCGCAAGCCUGAUGCAGCGACGCCGCGUGGGGGAUGACGGCCUUCGGGUUGUAAACUCCUUUCGCUAGGGACGAAGCGCAAGUGACGGUACCUGGAGAAGAAGCACCGGCUAACUACGUG